UCUGUGAGCUGGUUGCACUGGGAUUCACAAUGGCCGGAGUGGGACCCCUGAUGAUAAGGAACAUAUAGGAAGAUCAAGGGUAUGAAUACAGCAGACACACAGCAAGAAGAAGAGAAACCAAAGUGACUUCUGAGGACAUAGCAACAAAACUUUAUGCACAGCUUGAGAGAACAACAAAUGUUCUCAAAUUGGAAUGUACAGACUACAUUUCAGAAAUCAAAGGUCUGCAAUAAAGCUACAACGCCAGACAAAGCCUUUCUUGCUGCUUCUGCCCUUUGCCCUCAUGGCCUGGUGGCCAACAGAUCACUGGGAAGGAAAGGAACCACAAGGGUCCUGAAAGAAGAGUUUUCAGAUCAAUUGGUCAAUACUACUGACACUGCGCCCUAGAGACUGGACCAUAGACUCAACAACAUGGCGGGUAUUUCUUAUGUCAACUCAGCAGUGCUGCUGGAGCCCUUACAUUGAGGAAGACCAGUGGCAGCAUGACAAUUCCAAGUCUGUACCCUGUUGGUGACCCAUUGGUCAAAUUAGAUUCUCUGCUAAUAUUUGGUCAAAACAGACAAGAAUGACUGCCUCCACAGAUCCAACUGACUCCUCUUCUGAGUGUCUUGGGUUAUCUGAUUGAAACCAAGAGGCACAAUGGCUGUUUUUUGACGGAUGUAGGUUGUCUCUUGCAUCAACACUGGACUUUUAGAAUUUCAGGACAAAUGUUCAAAGCCUUCCCACAACUGGAUUUGCUGAGCAUGAAUCUGGUCCUCUGACAGCAGUGACUGAAGCUAAAAGUGAUUUUCCUGUAACAAGGAGAGGCUUUCUCAAGGUCUUUGCUAUUAACUCUUUUAUGCCCACUGCUGUGUAGAGGAAACAAAAAAGCUGGAGCUGAUGUGGUGGUACGCCAUGGGUAAGGACUUAGAUUCUGCCCUAUUCAAGAGAAUUGAUGUUGGUGUGUCUAAUUUUCCAUUGUCACGGAGAAUAUAGGGUUUCUUCACUUAGUAGUUAUUUCUUUCUCACUCCUGAUGAGAUUUCUAUGUGGUGAGCCUGCAUUCACAUACAUUGGUUUAAUACUUGAAAAGUAACAAAUGCCACACUCUUUGUAAAUGGAAACAUAAGAGCCAUUGGCUCUAAUCCUGGAAGUGAAUAGUCAACUUCUAUGAAUAUGGCAUUGAAAAUGCAGUUGAGAGUUCGAAUUCUAUGACCUCAACUAGAAACUCAGGUAUGGUGAUGUCUCCCUGCAGGCACAAGGGGGAAAGAGAGGGCAUGCUCUCCUAUGGCUACACUUCAUGUUUUGGGAUCCUGUGAUGCAAUCUCCAUAGCCAAGGGGCCUUGACUGUCAACUCAUUCCUGGACCUUUUGUACUAAAGUAAGAAGUAAUCUCAUACAGUUCAAUUCCACCACUAGAGUGACCCAGCCUGAUAGGCCAGGAUCGUCUAUGCAGGAUCCUAAUCCAGUCCUUAAAGUUUGCAGUGAAGAAGUCUUCUGUCCCCCUCUGGAAUGACAGUUCCACUAGAGGGAGGCUUACUCAUCCCUCCUGCAGAGAAGGUUCUAGAGAUAGGCUACAAAUAGAUGAUGCUCAGUAUCAUGUUGAUCAAUUUUGGAUGUCUAUCUAGGGCAAUUCCAUUUUCUCUUGGCAAAGAAGUUUUGCCUGGCCUAAGUCAUCCUUGUUUCUUAAUGUUACGUUGGACACAAAUAGUAAGGAGGGUCUCUUGGUCUUCUGAGUUUCAAAUUACCCUAGACUAGGUCAUCUGUAAGUUGCAGAAAUUUUAACCCAUAGUUCUGGAGACUAUAAAGUCCAAGAUCAAGGCUCCAGUGCUCUGGUGUAAGGUCUAGCUCUAAGCCUUCAUAGGCCACCCCCUUCUUCUUGUGCCCUUAUGUGGUAGACUCCAUUAUUUCUCCCCAUGGGGGAAGAGACCCCUCACUUAUCAUUCCCUAUCCUUUAAUACUACCUCAUUGGAGAUCUGAUUUUUAACAAGAUUUCUUUCUAUCACAGAGAUAAAAUACAGAUAAGGCCCAGAGAAAAACACAAACAGAUGUGGAUUUCUUUGGAUCCAAAUUUCCAUGUCCCCUGCAGAGACUUCAUUAAGCAUUAAUAACAGGAAGAAAAAUCCAGAAUGUUUACAUUUUACAAUUUGUAGCCAGUCUUCAUCUUUUUGGAUGGCAUUUACUUGCUUGAUUAGUUUUAUGACCUUUCUCUAGUCAACUGUCAAUCUGGACAUUUAUUUAUCAAUAUUAAAGUAUCUAGGCAGGUGACAUUCAGAUCCUCAGUCACACAAAGCAAAACCACUUUGUUGUUUCCUGUCUCAUACAGAAUGCUUGUUUUGGACAGUCGGAGUAUGAUGCACCAUUGCACAGCAGAUCCCACCGAAUGGAAAUUCUGCAGCUUCAACAUGAAGGGAACCCAGUUGAUUCCACUACACAUCUCAUUUAUUUUUUACCACACUCAUCAGACAUAACCCACUAUCUGUGUAAAUAGAGUUGGUCUUUCGUUGACUAUGAAUCAUAUUCCCUGCACUGAAUUAAUGCAAAAUGAAGGCAGAUAACACAGUCAACAAUCAGUCACUCUUAGAAGUCUUAGAGAUGGGCCUUGUUGUGGGAAAAGAAACAUUUAUAAUAUCUAAACAUUUCCUUCACAUGUUCAGGGGACAUAAUUCCUUGGCAUCUGGGACAUAAUACUUAGGUACAGAAGGGAAGUUUCUAGAGACCUUCAGCAGAGUCCCAUGAGGACACAGAGUGCCCCACCAGGAUGGAGGUCACACAUUAAUCAUGAGAAUUUUGCUGAGAACUGGUUAGAUACCAGCUGUGCAGCUGCAUUUCUCAUAGAUUAACUUCGAGUACAUUGUGAAGCCAUGCCAAGUCCCAGAUCAAGAAAGCCUGGGAGCAGGGAGAAGCGACUAUGGUUUACCCCAGUUUGAAACCCUGUAUUCAGAUGGACCAAAGGAGGAACUAAGUGCAAAAGUGGCCAUUAACAUGAUCUGCAGGAACAAGGGGGAGAGAGUAUGUAUCUGUAUAGGCCUGUGAUGGCACCCAGGCUCCCACAGCUCCAUGUGUCCUUUCCAUCCACACCUUUCCUUGAAAAUUGCUCCAUUUGCCUGCCUCUGUUGUGAACAGCAACUUUCCCAGAGUAUGUAAGUCUCUUGCACCUUUGGAAAGCAGCAUGAUUACUUUAUUGAGUUCCCUGGUCUUGUCAGUACCUUUCUCAAGUCCCUACACUCCCUAACUGCUGAUGGAGUGGGUUAGCAGUUACAUUUCUUGAACCAGCCUGGGAAAUCAGAUGUUUUCUCCUGGGAAUGUGUAGACUGAAUAUUCCAAGUGGGCUCUGUUUGGCAUAAGAAAAUAUCUAGAAACGCUUUAAAGGGGACACUGACAUAACUUCAAAGCUAGACUUGGUAAUUGAUAUUUGCUUUAGGUUUUUCAAAGCUCUAAAUUUAUAGCUUCUCUCAGCCUCAGGAAGAAAAAGACGACUCUGGUCAUUACAGGAUGUCCUGCACUAGCUUGUUGCCCUGGGAAAGGGUGUAGGAGGCUUAAUCAGGUGAUCUCAGCAGCCAACCAUCCUGGGGUAAAACCUUUCUGGCCUGAUACACUUACCUAUACAAAGCAAUGGGAGAGGAAGAUGGACCCACACUGAGCACCCUAGUAUAGGAUUAUAUUGAGAUAUUUUAAAUAUAUGUAUUAUAAUAUAUAAAUGAAGCUAUUAUUGCAUCCUAUGAAUCAGUAUAAGAUCUUCACUAAGCUGGGCGGUAGUGGCGCACGCCUGUAAUCCCACCACUCGGGAGG